UACGGAGGGUGCAAGCAUUAAUCGGAUUUAUUGGGCGUAAAGGGCGCGUAGGCGGGUUUGUAAGUCAGAUGUGAAACUCCGAAGCUCAACUUCGGAGCUGCAUUUGAAACUACAAGUCUAGAGGAGUGGCGGAGAAAAUGGAAUUCCACGUGUAGCGGUGAAAUGCGUAGAUAUGUGGCAGAACACCAGUGGCGAAAGCGGUUUUCUAGCUUAUUCCUGACGCUGAGGCGCGAGAGCAAGGGGAGCAAACAGG
rnacentral:rRNA from 1 species